rnacentral:rRNA from 1 species
AGAAUGAACGCUGGCGGCGUGGUUAAGACAUGCAAGUCGAACGGUGUUUCAGAUGUAGCAAUACAUUUGAAACGCAGUGGCGAACGGGUGCGUAACACGUGAACAAUUUACCUUUUAGUGUGGAAUAGCUCGACGAAAGUCGGAUUAAUACCGCAUGUGGUUGUCUCUCUCCUGAGGGGCAUACUAAAGCCGGGGACCGCAAGGCCUGGCGCUAUUAGAGGAGUUCGCGGCCUAUCAGCUAGUUGGCGAGGUAACGGCUCACCAAGGCUAAGACGGGUAGCUGAUCUGAGAGGAUGAUCAGCCACACUGGACUGAGACACGGUCCAGACACCGUACGGGUGGCAGCAGUUUCGAAUCAUUCACAAUGGGACAAAG